rnacentral:rRNA from 2 species
AAACCGGAGCUAAUACCGGAUAAUGCUUUUGAACACAUGUUCGAAAGCGGAAAGAUGGUUUCGGCUAUCACUUAUAGAUGGGCCCGCGGCGCAUUAGCUAGUUGGUGAGGUAACGGCUCACCAAGGCGACGAUGCGUAGCCGACCUGAGAGGGUGAUCGGCCACACUGGGACUGAGACACGGCCCAGACUCCUACGGGAGGCAGCAGUAGGGAAUCUUCCGCAAUGGACGAAAGUCUGACGGAGCAACGCCGCGUGAGUGAUGAAGGUUUUCGGAUCGUAAAACUCUGUUGUUAGGGAAGAACAAGUACCGGAGUAACUGCCGGUACCUUGACGGUACCUAACCAGAAAGCCACGGCUAACUACGUGCCAGCAGCCGCGGUAAUACGUAGGUGGCAAGCGUUGUCCGGAAUUAUUGGGCGUAAAGCGCGCGCAGGCGGUUCUUUAAGUCUGAUGUGAAAGCCCACGGCUCAACCGUGGAGGGUCAUUGGAAACUGGGGAACUUGAGUGCAGAAGAGAAGAGCGGAAUUCCACGUGUAGCGGUGAAAUGCGU